rnacentral:rRNA from 2 species
UCUCCUGGAAAACGGGUGGUAAUGCCGGAUGUUCCAGUUGAUCGCAUGGUCUUCUGGGAAAGCUUUCGCGGUAUGGGAUGGGGUCGCGUCCUAUCAGCUUGACGGCGGGGUAACGGCCCACCGUGGCUUCGACGGGUAGCCGGCCUGAGAGGGCGACCGGCCACAUUGGGACUGAGAUACGGCCCAGACUCCUACGGGAGGCAGCAGUGGGGAAUAUUGCACAAUGGGCGCAAGCCUGAUGCAGCGACGCCGCGUGAGGGAUGGAGGCCUUCGGGUUGUAAACCUCUUUUAUCGGGGAGCAAGCGUGAGUGAGUUUACCCGUUGAAUAAGCACCGGCUAACUACGUGCCAGCAGCCGCGGUAAUACGUAGGGUGCAAGCGUUAUCCGGAAUUAUUGGGCGUAAAGGGCUCGUAGGCGGUUCGUCGCGUCCGGUGUGAAAGUCCAUCGCUUAACGGUGGAUCCGCGCCGGGUACGGGCGGGCUUGAGUGCGGUAGGGGAGACUGGAAUUCCCGGUGUAACGGUGGAAUGUGUAGAUAUCGG